GGAAAGAGCGUAAUUACCGACGGGAAUGUACCGACGGCCUUUAGGCCUUCUGUAAAGUGUUGGUCACAUAAUAUACUGAAGGCAUGUAGGCCUUCGCUAAUGUCAGCGAUUAGAAAUUUGGUUUUUUUUUGCUCCGAAUUCCCCAAUUUCAGAAUUCCCUCGUCUCCCCUUCCCUCGUCUCUUCAAUUUCAGAAAUCCCUCUCUCCCCUUCCCUGGUCUGUUCGUCAUUACCGUAAGCCGAAGUUGGUCACCCUAAGCCAUUGUCGUGUUGCUAACGCGGAGGUGGGUUCGUUGGUGGCUAUUACUUUGGAGGGUGGUGACUCGUGGAAGUUGGCGUUUGCGUUAGGGGUGGUGGCGGUCAGUCGGUUCGACACUGCGGUUUGACGAUGCGAGUUUAGUGGUGUGGAUGUUGACGGAGGUUCGCUGCUGGGUGGCGCUCUUCCAUUCCCUACUCUCUGUUCGAAGCGGUUCGUUGGUUUGAAGCGUGAGGUUGUCGCCCUAAGGCGGUUUGAAGUGGUUGCUGUUGCAGACGCUGACGACGGUUCGUUGGUGGCUGGUUUGUGGCUAGGGUUCGUGUUUUGGUCCUUGUGAGAGUUGCGACAGAGGUAGGGGUUGUUGGGGUUGGCGUGUCGAGGGCGUUGCAGUGAAGUGGUGUUGGACUGAAAUUGACUGAAAGAGGAAGGUUAUUGGGUUUGGCUCCAGCGAUGCUGAUUCAAAUGACUAGAACAAGAAGAUGGGCGAAUCCAACGUUGGUAGUGAGAGUGUUGGUGCUGGUGGAGGGAGACCAAGGCUUGUUCUGCAACCUCGGUCUCUGUCGGUGUCCAAUAAAGGGGGGGAUGGGAAUGUGGGGAAACCUAAGGGGUUAGUCCAUUCGGAGAAGCGAUGCCAAGCGAACAAACCUGAUGGGAUUGCCUCAAGGAUUGUAUUUCUUGGUGAGGAAUAAAAAUCACUUUGAUGAAUUGAAGAAAGCUAUGCUACCUGACUUUUUGUGGACCAAACCUGAGGGUUUCCCGGAUGAGCUUCCACUGUAUGAACUGCUCAGAUCUGAUUGUCGGCAGCUUGCGAAGCAACUUUCGUGCUUCCAAAAUCUGAACUGAUACUCCACGAAUAUUGUAUAUCCUGUUUUACAAGUGUAUCACGUUCUUGAAGGACAUUGCAAGUGAUGGUUGCUUCAGCCUUGCUAUGUUGGCCCGUAUGGAACCUACUUUGCGUGAAAAGAAUGUCUGGAUGUAUCCACGAUUAUUUUGGGAAACUGGACUCCUUGGACAGGUGUUGUACCUUGAAGCACAUGCUAUUGGAAUCUCAACAACCGGAAUUGGUUGCUUCUUUGAUGACCCUGAUAAAGAGAUGAGAUAUGGAACAGAGCAAGAUUUGUGUCUUUGGGUGCUGUGAGCAGUGAUUUAGUUGAAGAGAGUGUGGAAGGUGAUGACCUAAGGAGCAGAAUCUUGAGGCUAAGGCUCCCCAAGCGAAGCGCCACAAACAUUCUUCAGAAAUGGGUCCUUCAAGGGAAUCCUGUUACGCUCUCUCAGCUUCGAGAUAUUUCCAAAGAGCUUCGAAGAUCACAAGGGAAAGUAGUGCAAUUGUUGUUUGUUUUGUCAUAUCAUGCAGUAUGUAUCAGAUUCGUUUGGUUAAUUGUAGGUGUAGUGCAUUAGGAAUUCAAUUUUGUACGUUGCUAUUAUUCGGUCAAAUUGACCUGUCUGCUUAAGCUGGUCGGUGAACUUGUUCUAGUGCAUUCACAAAUUGUAUUUUUUUUAAUUGGAUAAGUGCAGAUUUUUCAGAGAAA